AACGCGAAGAACCUUACCUGGGCUCGAAAUACAGAUGACCAUCGGCGAAAGUCGACUUCCGCAAGGACAUCUGCAUAGGUGCUGCAUGGCUGUCGUCAGCUCGUGUCGUGAGAUGUUGGGUUAAGUCCCGCAACGAGCGCAACCCUUGUUUCCUGUUGCCAUCGGGUAAUGCCGGGCACUCUGGAGAGACUGCCGGUGACAAACCGGAGGAAGGUGGGGAUGACGUCAAGUCAUCAUGGCCUUUAUGGCCAGGGCUACACACGUGCUACAAUGGCAGGUACAGAGGGAAGCCAACGCGCGAGCGGGAGCCAAUCCCAGAAAGCCUGUCGUAGUCCGGAUCGGAGUCUGCAACUCGACUCCGUGAAGUCGGAAUCGCUAGUAAUCGCAGAUCAGCAUUGCUGCGGUGAAUACGUUCCCGGGCCUUGUACACACCGCUAGUC
rnacentral:rRNA from 1 species